rnacentral:rRNA from 1 species
CCAGUAGUCAUAUGCUUGUCUCAAAGAUUAAGCCAUGCAUGUCUAAGUAUAAGCAAUCAUACUGUGAAACUGCGAAUGGCUCAUUAAAUCAGUUAUCGUUUAUUUGAUAGUACCUUUACCUGGAUAACCGUGGUAAUUCUAGAGCUAAUACAUGCUAAAAACCCCGACUUCGGAAGGGGUGUAUUUAUUAGAUAAAAAACCAAUGCCCUCUGGGCUCCUUGGUGAUUCAUAAUAACUUAACGAAUCGCAUGGCCUUGCGCCGGCGAUGGUUCAUUCAAAUUUCUGCCCUAUCAACUUUCGAUGGUAAGAUAGAGGCUUACCAUGGUCUUAACGGGUAACGGAGAAUUAGGGUUCGAUUCCGGAGAGGGAGCCGGAGGAACGGCUACCACAUCCAAGGAAGGCAGCAGGCGCGCAAAUUACCCAAUGCUAAUUCAGCGAGGUAGUGACAAUAAAUACUGAUACGGGGCUCUUUCGGGUCUCGUAAUUGGAAUGAGUACAAUCUAAAUCCCUUAACGAGGAACAAUUGGAGGGCAAGUCUGGUGCCAGCAGCCGCGGUAAUUCCAGCUCCAAUAGCGUAUAUUAAAGUUGUUGCCGUUAAAAAGCUCGUAGUUGAACCUUGGACCUGGCUGAUCUGUCCUCCUAAUCGAGCGCACGGAUUCGGUCGGGUCUUUCCUUCUGGGGAGCCCUAUGCCCUUCACUGGGUGUAGUGGGGGAACCAGGACUUUUACCUUGAAAAAAUUAGAGUGUUCAAAGCAGGCCUUUGCUCGAAUACAUUAGCAUGGAAUAAUAGAAUAGGACAUCGGUUCUAUUUUGUUGGUUUCUAGGACCGCUGUAAUGAUUAAUAGGGAUAGUCGGGGGCGUCAGUAUUCAAUUGUCAGAGGUGAAAUUCUUGGAUUUAUUGAAGACUAACUACUGCGAAAGCAUUCGCCAAGGAUGUUUUCAUUAAUCAGUGAACGAAAGUUAGGGAUCGAGACGAUCAGAUACCGUCGUAGUCUUACCAUAAACUUUGCCGACUAGGGAUCGGACGGUGGUUUUUUUAUGCCCCGGUUCGGG